UGGCUUCACUACGGGCGCUGAGUCGAGGGGAGAGUUUCCGCUGUAUCCAACCUUUCUUUCUUCCGCCUGUAUGGCGAUUGUGAGAACAGGAAGGAGAUACAGCGACUCUCCGCAACGACAAAGCUGAGAAGUACCGUUUAAACUCGAUCAAGAUAAUACUUGCGUGAGGAAUGUGCUGCCGCUGAUAU
rnacentral:ncRNA from 1 species